rnacentral:lncRNA from 1 species
UCCAUCCGCCGAAAUACUGCAGCACCAAUCGGCCGAUCUUCAACUCUAGCACCAAUCGGCCGAUUCCCAAUCGUGACCUCCGUGUUUUGCCGCAUCUCCUGAUUUCUUCCCUUCUUGACGCCGAUUUCAUACGUGUCAAAAUCUGGCGUCAACACAUGCCCCCCAGUUUCGGAGUAAAACAUAAUCUUUACUUCGAAAUUCCUUUCAACUUCCCUUCCGAAACAAACGCA